AUAUCAGAACCUGCCAGGAACUGAGAGAGGGGGACCUGGUUACUGAAGAGAGGAAUGGGCUCAUUAUAAAGAAUGGAUUGAAUAAAAACGUUAACAUAUGAGAGAGGAAUGAAUGAAAAUAGAAGAAUCCUUCUUCUCUAUCAACCACUCCAGCAGCUGCAAUGGUAAUGGCUCAGGCACAGCAGCAGUCCAAUUCAGAUUAUUGUCCAUCUUCAAAACGACUCUCGACUCCAUCUUCAACAAAAAGUGACAAACCAUCUUCUGUUCCUCCUAAUCGUCCUAAUUCAGUUGGUCCUAUUACUGUUAAUGGUCCUGGACCAUCUAAUUCUAGCUCUCCUAGUGUGUACCUCCUAGACAACAGCAUGAU